GUCACGGGGGAUUUGAAGCAUGGGGCUGGUGUGGUAGAGACCAGCCAGUGGGAACUUAGCGAGCUGGGUGGAGAUGUUUGGGGAGCUCCGGGCCAGAGAGUCCCCACAAGAUAGUAACAGGCCGGCCAGAUCACCAGAGCUAAGAGUAGCAGGGCACAAGCACUGGAAUGUGCAGGCUUUUUAAAAAAACAAUAUUUCCUGCAACAUAGGUGCUUCUCAGUCCAUUCAAGUUGACAAUCAAGGUAACUAAUUAAUAAAAGAAAUUAUUUGAAACCACAUAUACCACCUUGAAUGUAAAAUGCUUGGAAGCAUAAUAUAUACUUUUUAGGCAUCACUGAGUUAGCAGUUUCAUGUUGAGUAGUGUAAUGGCUUGAAUGAGAAUGGCUUCCAUCAGCUCAUAGAGUUGAAUAAUUGGUUAUUGGGGAGUGACAUGAUUUGAGAGGGUUAGAAAGUGUGGCCUUGUUGGAGGAAGUGUGUCACUAGGGAUGGGCUUUGAGGGCCCAAGCCAGGCCCAGAGAUUCUCUCUCUUUCUGAUGCCUGAAAAUCUGGAUAUAGAACUCUCAGCUACUUUUCCAUCAACAUGUUUGCCUGUGUGUGACCAUACUUCCUGCCAUGAUGAAAAUUGACUAAAUUUCUAAAACUGCAAGUUUCAAAACAUGGAAAAGAAGACAUAAAUGCACAAAGGCAUCUCACAAAACUGUCACAUAAUAUAAAAACACCAGAACUGAGCUGUUAAAACCAUGGCUCAGGAUUCAUCCAUGUAUCUCAGCAACACAUUCAGUGCCUUAAGGUGAGAAAAUACAGUCUGACAGAAGAAAAAAAAAAACCACUCA
rnacentral:lncRNA from 1 species